CAAGUCGAGCGAACUGAUUAGAAGCUUGCUUCUAUGACGUUAGCGGCGGACGGGUGAGUAACACGUGGGCAACCUGCCUGUAAGACUGGGAUAACUUCGGGAAACCGAAGCUAAUACCGGAUAGGAUCUUCUCCUUCAUGGGAGAUGAUUGAAAGAUGGUUUCGGCUAUCACUUACAGAUGGGCCCGCGGUGCAUUAGCUAGUUGGUGAGGUAACGGCUCACCAAGGCAACGAUGCAUAGCCGACCUGAGAGGGUGAUCGGCCACACUGGGACUGAGACACGGCCCAGACUCCUACGGGAGGCAGCAGUAGGGAAUCUUCCGCAAUGGACGAAAGUCUGACGGAGCAACGCCGCGUGAGUGAUGAAGGCUUUCGGGUCGUAAAACUCUGUUGUUAGGGAAGAACAAGUACAAGAGUAACUGCUUGUACCUUGACGGUACCUAACCAGAAAGCCACGGCUAACUACGUGCCAGCAGCCGCGGUAAUACGUAGGUGGCAAGCGUUAUCCGGAAUUAUUGGGCGUAAAGCGCGCGCAGGCGGUUUCUUAAGUCUGAUGUGAAAGCCCACGGCUCAACCGUGGAGGGUCAUUGGAAACUGGGGAACUUGAGUGCAGAAGAGAAAAGCGGAAUUCCACGUGUAGCGGUGAAAUGCGUAGAGAUGUGGAGGAACACCAGUGGCGAAGGCGGCUUUUUGGUCUGUAACUGACGCUGAGGCGCGAAAGCGUGAGGAGCAAACAGGAUUAGAUACCCUGGUAGUCCACGCCGUAUACGAUGAGUGCUAAGUGUUAGAGGGUUUCCGCCCUUUAUUGCUGCAGCUAACGCAUUAAGCACUCCGCCUGGCGAGUACGGUCGCAACACUGAAACUC
rnacentral:rRNA from 1 species